rnacentral:rRNA from 1 species
GACGAACGCUGGCGGCGUGCUUAACACAUGCAAGUCGAACGGAAAGGCCCUGCUUUUGUGGGGUGCUCGAGUGGCGAACGGGUGAGUAAUCCGUGAGUAACCUGCCCUUGACUUUGGGAUAACUUCAGGAAACUGGGGCUAAUACCGGAUAGGAGCUCCUGCUGCAUGGUGGGGGUUGGAAAGUUUCGGCGGUUGGGGAUGGACUCGCGGCUUAUCAGCUUGUUGGUGGGGUAGUGGCUUACCAAGGCUUUGACGGGUAGCCGGCCUGAGAGGGUGACCGGCCACAUUGGGACUGAGAUACGGCCCAGACUCCUACGGGAGGCAGCAGUGGGGAAUAUUGCACAAUGGGCGGAAGCCUGAUGCAGCAACGCCGCGUGCGGGAUGACGGCCUUCGGGUUGUAAACCGCUUUCGCCUGUGACGAAGCGUGAGUGACGGUAAUGGGUAAAGAAGCACCGGCUAACUACGUG